UUUGCAGCGCUGGAGAAUGAAGUCCUCUUAACUCACAGAAGAAGUUCAGCAUGGGCAACUGCAGUGCAAGCUUUCUCCAGCCCAAACAACUCUGACCGUAAGACACCAUCUUUAUUAUGGAGGGCAAAUCUGUCUCCAUCUCCCAUUAAUCCUUGACAUCU
rnacentral:sRNA from 1 species